GUUGACUCAGUUCCCUUAAUCCAAGAUAUUUUGCUACCAUACAUUUUAGGGUAUUACUUGGCCUCUGCUUAGAGCUCCUCCUCGUCAAAUUCGCUUCGAAGAUGGAAGUUUCUGUAAACUAAUUUGAUUUAGAUGAUCCCCGGGGUCUUGCUUAUGAGUAUGACAACAUGGGCUUCCUUCGAUAUUCCUGCUCUCACCUACUUGGAGUAUUAUGACUUUGUUCCCAAGGAAUAUCUAACUGUUAAUCUCGGUUUCCUUGUUGAAGCUAAACUCAAUCUCUGUAUGUGUAUGAGGAAGGUUUCUGGCAAUACGAACAUGGAGAUACUUUCAAUCCCAUGAAUCUGAUUAAUGGUUUGAAAAACGUUCAGAUUUUGAACUUGACUUAUGAAACUGUGGAGGUAAAGUUUUUUUUAUUUUUACAAGCAUGAAGAUAAGUUUUUAUUAUUGCAAAUGAAUUAGCUGAUUCUUUUUUUUUUUAGUGUUUAAUGUUUUCAGAUGUUUUAUUUCUUGAGUAAAUGAAUCCCAAUGUUUGAAAA